GAAAGAAGAAAAUAAAAAGGAGGAAAAAAGAUUUUCGGUUAAGAUUAUUAUUAACUUGAAUCUUCCAGAGCACGAAUCGAAGACAGUAUGCCCGUAUUGAUAUUUAGUCCAGCCUUCAAUGUAUUAAAUUUAUAAAUCAUAUAUGAUUCGCGCUGUUCACGCUCCCUUGUACUGGAGAAACCACUUUGCAGGAGUGUAACCUUGAUGGAAUCGAAUGGG
rnacentral:lncRNA from 1 species